rnacentral:rRNA from 1 species
CCUACGGGGAGCAGCAGUCGAGAAUCAUUCACAAUGGGGGAAACCCUGAUGGUGCGACGCCGCGUGGGGGAAUGAAGGUCUUCGGAUUGUAAACCCCUGUCAUGUGGGAGCAAAUUAAAAAGAUAGUACCACAAGAGGAAGAGACGGCUAACUCUGUGCCAGCAGCCGCGGUAAUACAGAGGUCUCAAGCGUUGUUCGGAAUCACUGGGCGUAAAGCGUGCGUAGGCUGUUUCGUAAGUCGUGUGUGAAAGGCGCGGGCUCAACCCGCGGACGGCACAUGAUACUGCGAGACUAGAGUGAUGGAGGGGGAACCGGAAUGCUCGGUGUAGCAGUGAAAUGCGUAGAUAUCGAGAGGAACACUCGUGGCGAAGGCGGGUUCCUGGACAUUAACUGACGCUGAGGCACGAAGGCCAGGGGAGCGAAAGGGAUUAGAUACCCGUGUAGUC